CUAGGACGAACGCUGGCGGCAUGCUUCAUACAUGCAAGUCGAACGAUAAGGUCUCUUCGGAGAUACAUAAGUGGCGGACGGGUGAGUAAUAUGUAGGAAAUCUGCCCUUGAGAGGGGGACAACGGUUGGAAACGACCGCUAAUACCCCAUAUGAGCGUACCUGAAAUGGUAUUCUUGAAAACUCCGGUGCUCAAGGAUGAGCCUGCAUCUGAUUAGCUUGUUGGCGGUGUAAUGGACCACCAAGGCGACGAUCAGUAGCUGGUUUGAGAGGAUGAUCAGCCACAAUGGGACUGAGACACGGCCCAUACUCCUACGGGAGGCAGCAGUAGGGAAUUUUGCGCAAUGGGCGAAAGCCCUGACGCAGCAAUGCCGCGUGAACGUAGAAGCCCUUCGGGGUGUAAAGUUCUGUCAGUAGGGACGAAUUUUGACGGUACCUACGGAGGAAGCACCGGCUAACUCCGUGCCAGCAGCGGC
rnacentral:rRNA from 1 species